rnacentral:lncRNA from 1 species
GCCAACAGGCCAUUUAGCUCAGUAACUUCAGGACAACAGCUCAGCUGAGCAGAGAAGGCUGAUCAGUGCCUCUGACCACAAGCCCAAAGGCCGGCAGAGCACACUGUGAAGUCACUAAGUGACCACAGUGGAUGACAUCACAAUGGGCUGUGCGCUAGGAAGUCCAGGCCAUCUUUGGGGUGAGCUUAUUUCUCCCGAGAGUCUGUAGUGGCUGCAAGGGCUUUGUUCUUGUUUUAAAUAGUUAAAGUAGACUGGGUUUUUCUUUUUUAUGGUGAAUUCUUGGGAAUAUUGGCUUGUAUCUGUGGCAAAGGUUUUCAAUAGUACUUUCUUUCCUUUUCAGGUCACAGUAUUCUAAGAAAUCGAACAGUGUGCCACCCUCCCCAGUGUGGGUACAGACUCAGGAGUAGACAGCUUUCAGGCACUGAUUUCAUACUCCCAAUAGGUAAAUGAAGAAUUCAGAGUCCAAGGGUCAUAGACAUAAAAAAGAAAGAAAAAAAUCAAAGAACUUGAAACACAAUUCUAGCAAUGUGCAAAGCAGGAGCAUGACACCUCAGAUGGCUCAUCAAUUUCAGGAACUCUUCCAAAGCAUGCACCAUCAAAUUGAGAGCCAUCCCCACCGCUAUCCCCACUACUAUGACCCCUCCCCGAGGGACCUUCUCUUCUUCCUCCAGCUGCUUUACCUGCACUAAGUGGUAAACAUCACCGCUAUCAUCUUGCUUUGGGGAGCCUCUCCUCUGCCACCACCUUUGUUCGGGGACCUCCUUUUCAGGCACACAACCUGCUCUGUCAUUUAGAAGGAAGCAGAAAUAAAUUAAUAAAUGUGAAGUCCAUAUGUUGGCUUUUUUUGAGGAUGUUAUCAAUGGAACCCAGAGCCUUCCCACUGAGGUAUAGC